rnacentral:rRNA from 1 species
ACGGGCCUACGGGAGGCAGCAGUGAGGAAUAUUGGUCAAUGGCCGAGAGGCUGAACCAGCCAAGUCGCGUGAGGGAUGACGGCCCUACGGGUUGUAAACCUCUUUUGUCGGGGAGCAAGACCCGCCACGAGUGGCGGAGCGAGAGUACCCGAAGAAAAAGCAUCGGUUAACUCCGUGCCAGCAGCCGCGGUAAUACGGAGGAUGCGAGCGUUAUCCGGAUUUAUUGGGUUUAAAGGGGGCGCAGGCGGACCAUCAAGUCAGCGGUAAAAUCGUGGGGCCCAACCCCAUCCCGCCGUUGAAACUGG